GUGAGGAAUAUUGGUCAAUGGGCGAGAGCCUGAACCAGCCAAGUCGCGUGAGGGAAGACGGCCCUAUGGGUUGUAAACCUCUUUUGUCGGGGAGCAAAUUCUCCUUGCGAGGAGAGCCGAGAGUACCCGAAGAAAAAGCAUCGGCUAACUCCGUGCCAGCAGCCGCGGUAAUACGGAGGAUGCGAGCGUUAUCCGGAUUUAUUGGGUUUAAAGGGUGCGUAGGCGGAAGAUUAAGUCAGCGGUAAAAAUGCGGGGCUCAACCCCGUCGAGCCGUUGAAACUGGUUUUCUUGAGUGGGCGAGAAGUGCGCGGAAUGCGUGGUGUAGCGGUGAAAUGCAUAGAUAUCACGCAGAACUCCGAUUGCGAAGGCAGCGCACCGGCGCCCAACUGACGCUGAAGCACGAAAGCGUGGGUAUCGAACAGGA
rnacentral:rRNA from 1 species